GACGAACGCUGGCGGCGUGCCUAAUACAUGCAAGUCGAGCGGACGAAUCGAAAGCUUGCUUUUGAUUCGUUAGCGGCGGACGGGUGAGUAACACGUGGGCAACCUGCCCUGUAGACGGGGAUAACACCGAGAAAUCGGUGCUAAUACCGGAUAACACGAAAUGUCGCAUGACGUUUCGUUGAAAGACGGCGCAAGCUGUCGCUACAGGAUGGGCCCGCGGCGCAUUAGCUAGUUGGUGAGGUAACGGCUCACCAAGGCGACGAUGCGUAGCCGACCUGAGAGGGUGAUCGGCCACACUGGGACUGAGACACGGCCCAGACUCCUACGGGAGGCAGCAGUAGGGAAUCUUCCGCAAUGGACGAAAGUCUGACGGAGCAACGCCGCGUGAGCGAAGAAGGCCUUCGGGUCGUAAAGCUCUGUUGUUAGGGAAGAACAAGUAACGCAGUAACUGGCGUUACCGUGACGUUACCUAACGAGAAAGCCACGGCUAACUACGUG
rnacentral:rRNA from 1 species